AUGGAGGCUCGCCACGUUAUUUAUUGGGGGUCUGGCAGGUUUCAAAGAUCUAUCUAUAAAUACGUACCUCCUGCUUUCAUUUUUCCUUGCCUUGGGGUGACGACGAGAAGAUCACGGGAGGAGACGGUGAGGGAAACCACGGUGCACACGGACGGCGGGAGGCGAGGCCGGCGCCGAGUUCGCGUCAAAGCACUCGCCGGAGGGGCUUCUCUUCUACUUUUUCUGGCCCAUCGCACCCGACCCGUUGCCCCAGUGGGUACAUCGGCCGUGGCGCUGCCGACUCCCUGGGCGUGUCCAUUGAGAUCUCCUGGUGAGUUGACUGCCUCCGAGUCGUUCCACAAGGGCGGAGCGACAGCUGUUGCGGCGAGGCAAGGUCCAGAGGAGAAGCUGACGUCGGCGCCGUCCAUUUCGGUGGCCGUGCGCGCCGCCGUUUGCCACGCCGUUUACUCCAGCGGCAUCGGCGGGCUCGCAUCGGAAUGCUCACCCUCCUCGGUGGCGGGGACGAGGCUAUCGUUGCUUGCCUCGAGCCGCUUUUUGCCCACCUCGGUCGUCCUAUCUACACGGGCCGGCCCGGCAGCGGCGAGCAGCAAAAUCGCCAGCGCCUGCGAGGUAGAUCCCGGGCUGGCGGCCACGGACGGUGGCGUGUUCUGCCCUUGCGCAAUGGCGGCGGCUCCUAUGUCGGCGUCGAGGAAGAAGAGGGUGGAGGGCGUGCCCUCCAAGAACCUGAUGGUCGAUUGGCGACGUCGCAAGUGCCUCAACAACCGUGAACAGUCUCUCCAUGCCAUACUCCGUCGUGACCAACAUCAUCAAAGAUUGACACAACGUCGAUCCUGGGGACGCGAUCGACUACAUGAAAAAGCUGCUGGAGAGGAUGUGGCGACUGCAGCAGGAGAUGGAGGAGGCGAACAUCCCCAAGGUGAGCAAUCUAGGCGACUAGGCCAUACUCUGUUGUCAACGGAGAGCUGGGACAUUCCUGCCGUAGAGCUUGAAACAAUGGUGAUAGAAGAGAAAUGUUGGCUGGUGGUUGCAGACUUGCAGUUCAAGGUGGUGCGCAAGGACGAGGCCCGCGGCCACGGGGACACCUGGGGUGGAGAUCUAAUGCACCGUCAAGCUGGGGCUCCUGCUAUCGACGAUGAGCAUGUUCGCUUGCCUACUUUCUUGACCCUCUCUUUACAGAUGCAUAAAUUCUUUCUUCUGAUCUACUUAAACACACUCUCACCUCUGGUCAUUGGCCACUCCCGAUCCCAACACAUGAUGAGUAGUGAAGUGGCAGGACUUGCCUUGAAUCCAACAGCCAUGAGAUCCAUGUGCCGAUCGAUGAUGCAAUUUUUCACACACAGCGAUCUUAGACCAUAUAUGUUUACUCAUGGGUAA
rnacentral:rRNA from 1 species